CGUCUAUAUACGUAUAGCAUAUCAAUAAGCGGAGGAAAAGAAACUAACUAGGAUUCCCUCAGUAACGGCGAGUGAAGCGGGAAGAGCUCAAAUUUGAAAUCUUCAAGGUUCUACCUUGACGAAUUGUAGUUUAAAGAAGUGUUUUCUGUUGAAGUUUUGGUAAAAGUUCUUUGGAAUAGGACAUCAUAGAGGGUGAGAAUCCCGUAUUUGACCAUUAUUUUCAGCUGUGUGAUACACUUUCAAAGAGUCGGAUUGUUUGGGAAUGCAGUCCAAAAUGGGUGUUAAAUUUCAUCUAAAGCUAAAUACUGGCGAGAGACCGAUAGCGAACAAGUACCGUGAGGGAAAGAUGAAAAGAACUUUGAAAAGAGAGUUAAACAGUACGUGUAAUUGUCAAAAGGGAAGCGUUUGACACCAGUGUUGUUUUCUCGAAAAUCAAUUAAAAAUGGUGGGAUGUUGUGUUGUAUUGACUUUAUCAGCUUUCUGCACUUUUUUUCCUAUCUUUUUUAAUGCACUUUUCGUUUAACAAGUCAACAUCAAUUUCUUUUGUUGUAAAAGAGUCAUCGGAAGGUGGCUUUCUUUUCGGAGAAAGUGUUUAUAGCCUUUGACUUCUGCAAUCGGAGAGAUUGAGGUCUGCAGCGUAGAUCCUUCGGGGUUAGAUGCAUUUGUGCUAAGCUAUAGCCUUUCAUAGACAACUUGUUAACUAUGAUCAGUCAUGUAGCUUACUCGCUUAUGUCAUUUUACCUACGCUUAGGAUGUUGACACACGCGCGUGCUCG
rnacentral:rRNA from 1 species